rnacentral:rRNA from 1 species
AACGAACGCUGGCGGCAGGCUUAACACAUGCAAGUCGAGCGCCCCGCAAGGGGAGCGGCAGACGGGUGAGUAACGCGUGGGAAUCUACCCAUCUCUACGGAAUAACGCAUGGAAACGUGUGCUAAUACCGUAUACGUCCUUCGGGAGAAAGAUUUAUCGGAGAUGGAUGAGCCCGCGUUGGAUUAGCUAGUUGGUGGGGUAAAGGCCUACCAAGGCGACGAUCCAUAGCUGGUCUGAGAGGAUGAUCAGCCACACUGGGACUGAGACACGGCCCAGACUCCUGCGGGAGGCAGCAGUGGGGAAUAUUGGACAAUGGGCGCAAGCCUGAUCCAGCCAUGCCGCGUGAGUGAUGAAGGCCCUAGGGUUGUAAAGCUCUUUCACCGGUGAAGAUAAUGACGGUAACCGGAGAAGAAGCCCCCGGCUAACUUCGUGCCAGCCGCCGCCGUAACAC